ACUUUUAUACGUGAACAUGUCUGAGCUGUUUCUUUUACUGUCUAUGGCUGUUCGUCGGGGUGAGGGCUAAAAAUCUGAAGCAGGAGAAAGCUUGAGGAGGUGGAGUUUCUCCUCCACUGCGCUCUCUCUCUCUCUCUCUCUCUCUCUCUCUCUCUCUCUCUCUCUCUCUCUCUCCUACAAGUUUGUGGACAGAUUUUAAAGUGAGGAAAUUUGGAGCCAUUAAUUUGGUGACACAAUGAAUUAAAAACACACAGUUUCUUUAUUUCAACCGGAAUGAACACACUGCUUUGAUGUUAAAAUGAGGGCGACCCUUUUAAACGGACUACUCUUGCUCUUUGUCGCACUCGCACAAGGGGCUUCAUUCUAUGGUGAUGGAUUUGUGCAGUUAAAAGGGACAGAGAUUUCUAGCCGUAACACACUGCACAUUCGCUUCCGCACCUCCAGACUGAGCGGCCUGCUUUUCCUGGCUGCAGGGCAGAAUGAUUUCCUGCUGCUGGAGAUGAAUGCUGGCAGACUGCAGGUGAGUCAUGUGUGGCUACUUCACCUCCGGCAAUGUUUAGAUCUACCACAAUAAACCAAUAUGUGAAAACAUGUCAAUUCCAUUUAGGCUCGAAAAGAAUCAGAUUGAAAGAAAAAAAGUGAUAAUGAAAUUGUAUUUCUAAAAGCUUUUUAUCAAGUAUGACAAGCAUUUUGUGUUGAGACAUAAACUCAACACAUAGAAUAUCACCAUCCUCUUCAGGUAAGGUAUACAUUUUGCAUUAACUUUGGCUGACGAAUGUGAGCUUAGUUGACAUUGUGAGAAAAAUGGAUACUCCCAAUAUCCAGUUUGAAAACUUUGCAUGAAUUUCUGAAAUGGAUUUUGGUUUUUACAUUUCACUCGGUGGCAUUCACAUAAGAUUCCUUUUUUAGAGGAUAUCUUUGGGCUACAAUAGAACAGACUGUGCUGAACAUUGAGGACUGAUUAGCUUGUAAUUGAAAAUAUCUUUGAACUUUCACAUUUAUCUGAGGUCAUUAAAUUGUGCAUUUUCUAUCCUUUGGCUGUGACCCUCUCUGAAUACAUCACAGAAUAAAAUUGCUUUCAGUUGAGAAAAAGCUAGAAAU
ensembl:lncRNA